rnacentral:lncRNA from 1 species
UUACAUUUAAACAAGAGUGCACACGCUGAAAUGUCUCGCCUUCUUUACUAAUCAUUGAUAUUAUGUUGAUAGCCCUAAGUAUAAAGCUUUAUUACAACUGUCUCAUAAACUUAACAUUAACCAAUAUAACUAAACAAAGACCAAUGAACCAUGAAAAUGAGGUCAAGGUCAGAUGAACCAUGCCAGGCAGACAUGUACAGCUAACAAUGCUUCUAUACAAUAUAUAUAGUUGACCUAUUACUUAUAGUUUAAGAAAAAUAGACCAAAACACAAAAAAUUAACACUGGGCAAUGAACCGUGAAAAUGAGGUCAUGGUCAAAAGAAACCUGCGCUACUGACAUAAAGAUCAUAAAAUAUUUCCAUACACCAAAUAUAGUUGACCUAUGGCAUAUAGUAUUAGAUAAAUAGACCAAAACUCAAAAACUUAACUUUGACCACUGAACCAUGAAAAUGAGGUCAAGGUCACAUGACAUCUGACCGCUAGACAUGUACACCUUACAAUCAUUCCAUACAACAAAUAUAGCAGACCUAUUGCAUAUAGUAUGAAAAAAACAGACCAAAACACAAAAAUUUAACUAUAACCACUGAACCAUGAAAAUGAGGUCAAGGUCACAUGACAUCUGCCCGCUAGACAUGUACACCUUACAAUCAUUCCAUACAACAAAUACAGUAGACCUAUUGCAUAUAGUAUGAAAAAAACAGACCAAAACACAAAAAUUUAACUAUAACCACUGAACCAUGAAAAUGAGGUCAAGGUCAGAUGACACCUGCCAGUUGGACAUGUACACCUUACAGUCCUUCCAUACAAUGAAUAUACAAGCCCUAUUGCUUAUAGUAU